AGAGUUUGAUCAUGGCUCAGGAUGAACGCUAGCGGCAGGCUUAAUACAUGCAAGUCGAGGGGCAGCACAGAUAGCAAUAUUGGGUGGCGACCGGCAAACGGGUGCGUAACACGUACACAACUUUCCGUUAAGUGGGGAAUAGCCUAAAGAAAUUUGGAUUAAUACCCCGUAACAUAUAGAGAUGGCAUCAUUUUUAUAUUAUAGGCGCAAGCCGCUUGAUGAUGGGUGUGCGGCUGAUUAGGUAGUUGGCGGGGUAACGGCCCACCAAGCCUUCGAUCAGUAGCUGAUGUGAGAGCAUGAUCAGCCACACGGGCACUGAGACACGGGCCCGACUCCUACGGGAGGCAGCAGUAAGGAAUAUUGGUCAAUGGGCGAAAGCCUGAACCAGCCAUGCCGCGUGGAGGAUGAAGGUCCUCUGGAUUGUAAACUUCUUUUAUUUGGGACGAAAAAAGGGAAUUCUUUCUCACUUGACGGUACCAGAUGAAUAAGCACCGGCUAACUCCGUGCCAGCAGCCGCGGUAAUACGGAGGGUGCAAGCGUUAUCCGGAUUCACUGGGUUUAAAGGGUGCGUAGGCGGGCAGGUAAGUCAGUGGUGAAAUCUUUGGGCUUAACCCGAAAACUGCCAUUGAUACUAUCUGUCUUGAAUAUUGUGGAGGUUUGCGGAAUAUGUCAUGUAGCGGUGAAAUGCUUAGAUAUGACAUAGAACACCUAUUGCGAAGGCAGCAAACUACGCAUAUAUUGACGCUGAGGCACGAAAGCGUGGGGAUCAAACAGGAUUAGAUACCCUAGUAGUCC
rnacentral:rRNA from 1 species